rnacentral:rRNA from 1 species
GACGAACGCUGGCGGCGUGCCUAAUACAUGCAAGUAGAACGCACAGUUUAUACCGUAGCUUGCUACACCAUAGACUGUGAGUUGCGAACGGGUGAGUAACGCGUAGGUAACCUGCCUGGUAGCGGGGGAUAACUAUUGGAAACGAUAGCUAAUACCGCAUAAUAUUGAUUAUUGCAUGAUAAUUGAUUGAAAGAUGCUAUUGCAUCACUACCAGAUGGACCUGCGUUGUAUUAGCUAGUAGGUGAGGUAACGGCUCACCUAGGCGACGAUACAUAGCCGACCUGAGAGGGUGAUCGGCCACACUGGGACUGAGACACGGCCCAGACUCCUACGGGAGGCAGCAGUAGGGAAUCUUCGGCAAUGGACGAAAGUCUGACCGAGCAACGCCGCGGGAGUGAAGAAGGGUUUCGGAUCGGAAAGCUCUGUUGUAAGAGAAGAAAGGGUGUGAGAGUGGAAAGUUCACACUGUGACGGUAUCUUACCAGAAAGGGACGGCUAACUACGUG